GUGCCAGCAGCCGCGGUAAGACGUAGGGGACGAGCGUUGUCCGGAUUCAUUGGGCGUAAAGCGCGCGUAGGCGGUUCGGUAAGUCGGGUGUGAAAACACGAGGCUCAACCUCGUGCGUGCAUCCGAUACUGCCGGACUAGAGGUAGGUAGGGGAGAUCGGAAUUCCUGGUGUAGCGGUGAAAUGCGCAGAUAUCAGGAGGAACACCGGUGGCGAAGGCGGAUCUCUGGGCCUUACCUGACGCUCAGGCGCGAAAGCUAGGGGAGCGAACAGGAUUAGAAACCCCCGUAGUCC
rnacentral:rRNA from 1 species